UACGUAGGGUGCAAGCGUUGUCCGGAAUUAUUGGGCGUAAAGAGCUCGUAGGCGGUCUGUCGCGUCUGCUGUGAAAACUCAGGGCUUAACCCUGAGCUUGCAGUGGGUACGGGCAGACUAGAGUGCGGUAGGGGAGACUGGAAUUCCUGGUGUAGCGGUGGAAUGCGCAGAUAUCAGGAGGAACACCGGUGGCGAAGGCGGGGUCUCUGGGCAGUAACUGACGCUGGAGGAGCGAAGGCGUGGGGAGCGAACAGG
rnacentral:rRNA from 1 species